GUUGAGUUAUGAAUUUGCGAAGAAAAAUGAUAGAUGAAGCGUACCUAGCUGUGUUACCUCGAGGAAGAAGAACUCGGUUUUAAAAAUGUUUGUAUGUAUCUGUCUCUGCCCACCACGACCCUAAUUUAGUGUGUUAUUUAGUGUGUAUGGAUCGAGGCGAGUGUUUUCAUGUUAAGAGCCCGAUCGACUCAUUCAGUACUGGGCUGAAUAAACUUCUUUGCUAUAAGUUCAUGUAAUCAUACCAAACACAUUAUCGUGGCCAUUACUUUGGGUUUAUGGAUUGUUAAUGUUUUUUAAUGGCUCACAUAACGCAUUACAAUAGCUCAUGUAAACUAGCAAUGACCAGCUGAUACUGACUGCCUGCGUGACACCUUGAUUUUGCCUUGCUCCGUGUUCCCCUUUACGUCUUAGGGGUCGAAGGGAGGGAGGAUGCAGGUCGAACCGCCGUGAUAAUGGCUUCAUACAUAUUAAUGGAGAGCCAUGCAUAUUGAUGUACAUUUAAUCUUAGAAGCUGAUAGAGUGAGGCAGUUUUAGCAGGGCGGCGUCUCCCGAGUCCGACAAACAAGCCUGUGUUGGGCAAGGCACACGAUGCUUGCCCGAGUGGCCUUGUGGGGUGACUGGAGGAGGUGGUGUGCAUGCUCUCUAGUAUAGGGCGUCACCUCUUGAUGAAUGGAUAACUAAGUGCUAAAAGGCAGGAAGCACACAGCCUCUCUAUAGUACUGGAGAGGUUAAAAAUUGGGUUGUCAGUGUAAGACUUGAAAUAAGAUUGGAACUGAUAUUGUGAUGGAGAAUAAAGCUCUAUAGGUACAGUAAAGGAAACAACCAGAAAAAUAUUAACUUAAAUCAUGUAACAAUGAAUAGUUAUAAUAGAUAUAUAAUUACUAGUUGUAGUAAAGUACAGGCAUUCAUCCUCCAAAUGUUUUAAUUUAGUAACAAAACAACAUUACAGUUCGCGGCGCAGUUAACAGAAGCUUCCUGAAGUCUGCGUACUGCACAGUGUUGAAUUUUAUUUCAACAAGUUCUCGGGAAAUCUCCUGCCAGAUUUACAACCAGUAGACUGGUCAGAAGUCGGAAGAAGCAGUAUUUCCACCAGAACACCACCAACGUUACAAUGCCUAAGACAAUGGUUUUGCGUGCGCAGCGAUACCUGGGUAGUGACGAGGGAAAUUCUACGGACACGGCCAGCCCUGUUUACAUUACUUUACGGCCCCCGUAAUCGACAAAGCGAACACCCUUGGGCCUCGGCGCAUACCAUAACCUUUCUCUAAGUCUGUGUUAAAGUGAAUAAUCGCCACGUUCUUCUCACCGGGAACCGAAGAAAACAGAAAUGUCAUGGUAAACUUAAGUAUGUGACCUGUAGAUCUGUAAACUGAACAUCUUACGAAAUAGGCUUUUAACAGGGGCAGAUCCUAGGGGUAGAGGGUUCACAAGGACCACUGACUCCCAAAAGUCACCAGAGGAGACUAUUCUGGUUUGUUACUUACUUAAUGGUGAUAAAUGUUAAGUGGCAGUCAGUUGGAAAUCUUAUUGUAUUGAUUGAUUACUCAUAGGUUAGGAAAGUCAGGCAGUUAGGUUUUGUUUAUCUUCCUUUGGCAGCAGAAUCAGUGUAGUAGUGACAAGUAGGCUAGUUUGAAUUGUAUUGGUCUUGGGAAGCCCAGAUAAACUUUAGUUUCCACAGCUACUUUUCUGAUAUACUUUUGUGCUUUUCACAAACAAUAUCAUCAUUUUGUUUAACGUCCGUUUUCACUCUUCCUGAGCGGUUGGAUGCUUUAUAGCUCUGUUCUAUUCUACUCUGCCUUCUGCCCGAUGCCCAUCCAAUCCCAUCAAUGCCAAGUCCUCCUGUAUACACCUUCUCAACGUCUUCCUUGGUCUACCAACUGGUCUCCUUCCUUCCCAAAAUCUCCAAAGCUCCCAGCACUGUAUCCUCCCCUGCUCUCUUCACAUGUCCAAACCACUGGAGUCUUUCCCUUCUAAGCACUGUUUCCAGGUCCUCUUCUCCACAUCUGUCAGCUACAUCUGCACUGGACACCCUAUCUUGCCACUUGAUCCCCGCCAUAUACCUCGGUAUUCUGCGAUCACUUGCUCUCGAUCUUCCCGAGGGACACCCACUCCUUGGUCUUGGUUUGGAGUCUUCAUCAAACACGGACUGACCUUUGACCCUCCACAUGCCCACGUCAGCAGAUCAACAAUGGCAACAGGUAGCACAAAAAAUAAUAAUGGCUGGUGUGCUGGCUGAUGGAGACAUGACGCUCCCCCGCCCUCCAACAGCCAAUUGGCAGCAUUGUUACUUACUCGGCAGCAGUCCUACCCAAAGUAAUUACUGGAAGGGAUGCACCUGUACGUAGUGCCAUGGCCCGCCUGAUGGGCGAGCUUCCUAUAACUCGCUCUGUGAGGGGGGUACCUCUUUGGCCAACUGAUUAAGGAGUGGCUCUCUCAUCUCACUGGUCACAGACUGCUACUAAAGUUUGACCAAGCAGGAGCUGGAGUGUCCCACCAUCCCAUCACUGUGCGCAGGGCGUCAUCAUUCGGACACGCAGAUGACUUGUGGAGAAUGUCAGCACCUGACGGGAGCAACAGCCAUAAUGAAGUGUAAUGACAUGCCUGAUAUGGGGGCCUCAAGACCCUGUUAGCUAGGGAGUACCUCUUCUGCUGAUUGUUUAGAGUGGGGGCUUCUGGUCUGGUUGGUUGUGGUUUAUACCUGCAACCAGCCAGAUGGGAAACCACUCCUCAGCCAGUCAGCCAGAGGUACCCCCCCCAUGUAGUGGUUGAGGGGGUCUUUAUGCAUCAUAUGGGCCACUACAGAAGAAUAUAUCCGCUCCUUUGGUACAUCAACCCAAGACAGGAUUAUUAUUGUGAUGUACAUAUAUACUUGAUGUCUGCAAGGUUGUUCAAUAAAGAUCUGAUGCAGACA